GUAUCUUCACCCCGCGUGGGUGGCCCGAGAGGGCCUCCAGGGAAGACGGUGUGAAUCCGUCGCGGGCCCGCCGCUGUAACCGGGUACGAAAGCCGCAACGAUGCCACUGUCCGCAAGGGCGGGAAGGCGCGGCGAGUAGGCUGAUCCGGAAGCCAGAAGACCUGCUCACGUCAACGUAGAACUU
rnacentral:ncRNA from 28 species